GGUCUGCCUUUAUAUGUUACUUGGCCUUUUUCCCUUACUGCUUUUAAUAUUCUUUCUUUGUUUUGUGCAUUUGUUGUUUUGACUAUUAUGUGAUGGGAGGAGUUUCUUUUCUGGUCCAAUCUAUUUGGAGUUCUGUAGGCUUCUUGUAUGUUUAUGGGCAUCUCUUUCUUUAGGUUAGGGAAGUUUUCUUCUAUGAUUUUGUUGAAGAUAUUUACUGGCCCUUUGAGUUGGGAGUUUUCACUCUCUUCUAUACCUAUUAUCCUUAGGUUUGAUCUUCUCAUUGAGUCCUGGAUUUCCUGUAUAUUUUGGGCCAGUAAACAGUUUUUCUUUGACAGUUGUGUCAAUGAUUUCUAUGGAAUCUUCAGCUCCUGGGAUUCUCUCUUCUAUCUCUUGUAUUCUGUUGGUGAUGCUUGUAUCUAUGGCUCCUUGUCUCUUCCUUUGGUUUUCUAUAUUCAGGGUUGUCUGCCUUUGUGCUUUCUUUAUUGUUUCUAUUUCCAUUUUCAAUUCCUUUACCUGUUUGAUUGUGUUUUCCUAUAAUUCUUUCAGGGAUUUUUGUGUUUCCUCUCUAAGGGUUUCUACUUGUUUACUUGUGUUUCCCUGCAUUUCUCUAAGGGAGUUCUUCACGUCUUUCUUGAAGUCCUCCAGCAUCAUGAUCAAAUAUGAUUUUGAAACUAGAUCUUGCUUUUCUGGUGUGUUUGGAUAUUCAGUGUUUGCUUUGGUGGGAGAAUUGGGCUCUGAUGAUGCCUUGUAGUCUUUGGUUUCUGUUGCUUGAGUUCCUGCGCUUGCCUCUCACCAUCAGGUUGUCUCUGGUGUUACCUUGUUCUGCUAUUUCUGACAGUGGCUGGACCGUCCUAUAGGCCUGUGUGUCAGGAGUGCUGUAGACAUGUUUUCCUGUUUUCUUUCAGCCAGUUAUAGGAACAGAGUGUUCUGCUUUCAGGCGUGUAGUCGUUCCUGUCUACUGGUCUUCAGCUGUUCCUGUGAGCGUGUGUCCUGCCACCACCAGACAGGUCACUUGGAGCUGAAAAGUUGGUCUUACCUCUGGUCUCAGGCCUGAAGUUGCUCCUCAGAGCUAGGUUUCAUCUCUCUGUAAGGGCAGCAACCAGAAAAGCCUGCCCUUACUUCUGGGUCCCUGUCCACAGGGGGCCCAGAUGGCGCUAGGCGUUUUUCUCUAUGCGUCUGCCCCUCUGAAGGUCUAGUUCUCCCUCCCACGGGAUUUGGGUGCAGGGAGCUGUUUGACCGGGUCCCUUCAGAUCCGGGUGCAGUCUGAACCACAGGGCUUCUGCAGCUUGAGUGCCCCUAUCUUCCCCCAGCUUGGCUUUUAAAGAUUUCAAUUCUCUGAAUGCCCCCCAAUCCUUCCAAUAAAUUAUCCUCUAAAAGUGGGUUUCUGUGACUUACAACCAACUAAUAAAGUACUGGAUAGUAAACAUGUCAUUAUAAUCAGGGUAGCAGUAAUAAGUUAGAGACAGUAUCUUCUACCUGAUGGAGUUGAUAUGAUUUGACACAUUCUGUGGGACAGGGCUCUCGUGCUCAACAAUGGGCUAUGCUAAUUUGUAUGAGAUGUCUACUCAUUCCUACAGAGUAGAAAAUCAAUAAAAAGUAUUCCGUAAUUGUAUAAAAAUUAAAAGCCCCUAGGUUUGCCAGUGUCGAUGGGGAAUGUCUUUCGGGAGCAGGAGAGCAGGGCCGUGAGCAGGCAGGCAGAAGCUGUAAGCAAGGGCUUUAGCUGGGGCUGUCAGUUAGUCCAUGAGCAUACCCAGCUGCCUGAAGAAGUUCGUGUUCUCUUUCCUAUAAGAACAACAUGUAAUUGACUCUGUGCAGUUGGCAUAGGUGACUUGGUUUUGUUUGUUUGUUUGUUUGUUUGUUUGUUUUCUUUUUUUUUUCGGAGCUAGGGACCAAACCCAGGGCCUUACCACUGAGCUAAAUUCCCAACCCCGGCAUAGGUGACUUGUAAGCAAUGUCGAACCCAUCCCUCAAGACUGUCCAGGGAUUCAACAUAAAUAAAGCUGGGAACUCUGGAGUUAGUGCUUUUCUGACCUGAAAGAUCAGGCAAAGGUCUAAAAUCUAGGAAAGAAAAACAAAGGAACACCAGCCAUGGGGAACCAAAACAAAUGUAGCAAUCUUUCCAGUAACCACUGGAGCGGGAAGAUACACAAACCCAAGAAGAGCAGAAGCAGUGAGUAGGAAGGAGCCCUAUAGAGCGACAGCCACAGAAUCUAUUUGUCGUUCCCAGCCUAUUCUUAUAAGACCAUCUUCCAUGCCUGUACACAGUCAGGAGCACGAAAAGGACCAGUGAAUGAGGUCGUCAAAGACAGAAACUGAUUCUGGAUAAAGGAUUCCGCAGCUGGUAACAAAGAAGAGAUUAUUCAAGCAGAGUUAGUCUUCGGUGUCCUCGUUUGCUCAUUCCUGCGCCUGUCUGCUGUCUCCUACCCUCUCUAGCUCUCUGAACACCCACACUGAGAUGCAUCUCGGGAUGAGGACAGGAGACCUCUAGCCAUCAAGCCUGCUCUCAUAGCAUGGACAUUAAAAGGUGACUAAACAUGAGGGGAAAGUGACAGAGGUAGUCUGAAGGAUUCAGCUGUUUGUGGGAGCUGGGUGUCAUCUCCACCUACUCACCUUUGUUUGCCUGCUGUAUUGCUUGUGUGUGUGUGUGUGUGUGUGUGUGUGUGUGUGUGUGUGUGUGUGUGUGCGUUAGAGAGUUGUAUGUGCUGUGGUAUACAUGUGGAAGUGAGAAGGCAGCAUUGUAGAAACUGUGCUUUCUCUCCACC